AUGAACGUUGGCGGCGUGUUUAAGGCAUGCAAGUCGAGGGUUCCAUUUGGUAGCAAUAUUAAUUGGGAACCGGCAGACGGGAGAGUAACACAUUGGUAAUCUACCUCUAAGACGGGAAUAGCUCACCGAAAGGUGAAUUAAUACCCGAUGGUCUCCGACCCCCACAUGGGGCGUCGGAGUAAAGAUUUAUUGCUUAGAGAAGAGCCUAUGUCUGAUUAGCUAGUUGGUAGGGUAAUGGCCUACCAAGGCUCCGAUCAGUAGCAGGCGUGAGAGCGUGACCUGCCUCACUGGGACUGAGACACUGCCCAGACACCUACGGGUGGCUGCAGUCAAGAAUAUUCCACAAUGGGCGAAAGCCUGAUGGAGCGACGCCGCGUGCAGGAAGAAGUCCUUCGGGAUGUAAACUGCUUUUCUUAGGGACGAAUUCGUGACGGUACCUAAGGAAUAAGAGGUUGCUAACUCUGU
rnacentral:rRNA from 1 species